AAGAAGUUGAGUGGCGGACGGGUGAGUAACACGUGGGUAACCUGCCUAAAAGAAGGGGAUAACACUUGGAAACAGGUGCUAAUACCGUAUAUCUCUAAGGAUCGCAUGAUCCUUAGAUGAAAGAUGGUUCUGCUAUCGCUUUUAGAUGGACCCGCGGCGUAUUAACUAGUUGGUGGGGUAACGGCCUACCAAGGUGAUGAUACGUAGCCGAACUGAGAGGUUGAUCGGCCACAUUGGGACUGAGACACGGCCCAAACUCCUACGGGAGGCAGCAGUAGGGAAUCUUCCACAAUGGA
rnacentral:rRNA from 1 species